rnacentral:rRNA from 1 species
AUUGAACGCUGGCGGCGUGCUUUACACAUGCAAGUCGGACGAGUGGCGAACGGGUGAGUAACGUAUCGGAACGUACCCAGUAACGGGGGAUAACUGUCCGAAAGGAUAGCUAAUACCGCAUACUAUUCGAGCUGCCGAUGUCUGAUUAGCUGGUUGGCGGUGUAACGGCUCACCAAGGCGACGAUCAGUAGCGGGUCUGAGAGGAUGAUCCGCCACACGGGGACUGAGACACGGCCCAGACUCCUACGGGAGGCAGCAGUGGGGAAUUUUGGACAAUGGGCGCAAGCCUGAUCCAGCCAUGCCGCGUGUCUGAAGAAGGCCUUCGGGUUGUAAAGUACUUUUGUCAGGGAAGCGGUACCUGAAGAAUAAGCACCGGCUAACUACGUGCCAGCAGCCGCGGUAAUUC